rnacentral:piRNA from 1 species
UGUUGAACGACCAUGGAGCCCACUCU